rnacentral:rRNA from 1 species
GACGUAGGGCGCGAGCGUUGUCCGGAUUUAUUGGGCGUAAAGAGCUCGUAGGCGGCUUGUCGCGUCGAAUGUGAAAUCUCAGGGCUCAACUCUGACAUUGCACUCGAUACGGGCAGGCUAGAGUUCGGUAGGGGAGACUGGAAUUCCUGGUGUAGCGGUGAAAUGCGCAGAUAUCAGGAGGAACACCGGUGGCGAAGGCGGGUCUCUGGGCCGAUACUGACGCUGAGGAGCGAAAGCGUGGGGAGCAAACAGG